rnacentral:rRNA from 1 species
UCGAGAAUUUUUCUCAAUGGGCGCAAGCCUGAAGGAGCGACGCCGCGUGGAGGAUGAAGGUCUUCGGAUUGUAAACUCCUGUCAUUUGGGAACAAAUACCAGGUUUAACUGACUUGGAACUGAUAGUACCAGAAGAGGAAGAGACGGCUAACUCUGUGCCAGCAGCCGCGGUAAUACAGAGGUCUCAACCGUUGUUCGGAUUCAUUGGGCGUAAAGGGUGCGUAGGCGGUCGCGCAAGUCGGAUGUGAAAUCUUGGGGCUCAACCCCGAAACUGCAUUCGAUACUGCGUGGCUCGAGUACUGGAGAGGAGACUGGAAUUUACGGUGUAGCAGUGAAAUGCGUAGAUAUCGUAAGGAAGACCAGUGGCGAAGGCGAGUCUCUGGACAGUUACUGACGCUGAGGCACGAAGGCCAGGGGAGCAAACGG